UACGUAGGUGGCAAGCGUUGUUCGGAAUUAUUGGGCGUAAAGCGUGCGCAGGCGGUUCGUUAAGUCAGCUGUGAAAGCCCCGGGCUUAACCUGGGAAUGGCGGUUGAAACUGGCGAACUUGAAUCUGGCAGAGGGGGGUGGAAUUCCGACGUGUAGCAGUGAAAUGCGUAGAGAUGUGGAGGAACACCGAUGGCGAAGGCAGCCCCCUGGGCUGAGAUUGACGCUCAGGCACGAAAGCGUGGGGAGCAAACAGGG
rnacentral:rRNA from 1 species